AACCUACAAAUUUGACAAGAAAUCAUGAGCUUCUUACAAUUCCAUCUUAACCCUUAGGAAGUUCAUCUUGUACAUUGUCUUAUGGAAAUAGCCAAACUCGAAGAAGAUGAUAAAGGAACCAGCCUGCACUCUAUGAAUGAGGAAAGAACCAAAUAGGUUCCUUUGGAAUCUUCAUUUGAGCAAGAUUUAUAACUCUAUUAUUUUACUGAGGAACGCCAUGGUCGAGCACUGAAAAGAAGCCUCGACCUCGAAACUUCAUGGGAGGCUGUGUCGUGAGUUGGAUUCCUUUAUUAACUACAAGUUGAUUGAUUGUGUUUCUCUAUCGUCCAUUCAAGAAGAAGAAGAAGAAGAAAAAGGGACAAUUUGGUUACUGCUUUACUUCAAUUUCCUAACUUUGUCACAAAACUGCCUUGAGGAUAAAAUGUUGAGCUGCUAGGCAGCAGGUGAGUAAGUAGCUUAGGGCUGAAACCUGAAAACGCUACAAUCUUGCAAUGUACGUACUCUGUAUAAAUAGCUAGUGUGCUAAGCAAUAUCAAUAAAGAGAUCUUCUUCCACAUA